rnacentral:rRNA from 1 species
GUCCACGCCGUAACGAUGUCGACUUGGAGGUUGUGCCCUUGAGGCGUGGCUUCCGGAGCUAACGCGUUAAGUCGACCGCCUGGGAGUACGGCCGCAAGGUUAACUCAAUGAAUUGACGGGCCGGCACAAGCGGUGGAGCAUGUGGUUUAAUUCGAUGCAACGCGAAGAACCUUACCUACUCUUGACAUCCAGAGAACUUAGCAGAGAUGCUUUGGUGCCUUCGGGAACUCUGAGACAGGUGCUGCAUGGCUGUCGU